AAGAGGAAAAGAAGAUAGGCCAUUUUGUUUCAUGUAUCGAAAACAAAAUUUUAAAUAAUUUUAAAUAAUUUUAAGAUGUAUCAACAUUUAAAGAAACAUUUGGCUGGUCAACUUGAACUAUUGGAUGAGUCAAAUGUUUAUCUACAGAGUAGCAUCAGUGAUUUUGUACAGCAGAUUAAGAUCAGAGCCACUACUGACUCCAAUAAAGAUGUGAAAGAUGCUAUUGCUAUGGUAACAGCUGCUCAAAGUACUUUGCAUGAACUCACAUAUAUAUUUACAG